AACCGUGCGACAGUCAGGCAACGAGCGAGACCCACGCCCACAGUUGCCAGCGUACUCUCCGGAGUGCCGGGUACACUGUGGGGACCGCCGGUGCUAAAGCGGAGGAAGGAAUGGGCAACGGUAGGUCAGUAUGCCCCGAAUCUCCCGGGCUACACGCGGGCUACAAUGGUUGGGACAAUGGGUAUCUACCCCGAAAGGGGAUGGUAAUCUCCUAAACCCAAUCUUAGUUCGGAUUGAGGGCUGCAACUCGCCCUCAUGAAGCUGGAAUCCGUAGUAAUCGCGUUCAUACAGCGACGGGAA
rnacentral:rRNA from 1 species